rnacentral:misc_RNA from 1 species
UGCGGUUGAGGCUCCGCUAUWAAUGGAUAAUAUUUUCGUCUUAAAGUAUACGAGUUUUUGAAAGUAAAAGAGCAAUAUCAACAAAGUUGAUAUUGCUCUUUUACUUUCAGUAGUCUUUUUUUAUACAUAUUUCUAAAUAAAUUGUUGAUUUACUGUGACGAACAAUAACGAAAGAGCAGAAAUCGAAGUCUAGAUUCUUUUUCCAUAAGAAUGGAGGAUAGGGGCGGAUGUAGCCAAGUGGAUCAAGGCAGUGGAUUGUGAAUCCACCA